AUGCAGGUUACCCGCGACAGGACGGAAAGACCCCGUGGAGCUUUACUGUAGCCUGAUAUUGAAAUUCGGCACAGCUUGUACAGGAUAGGUAGGAGCCUUUGAAACGUGAGCGCUAGCUUACGUGGAGGCGUUGGUGGGAUACUACCCUAGCUGUGUUGGCUUUCUAACCCGCACCACUUAUCGUGGUGGGAGACAGUGUCAGGCGGGCAGUUUGACUGGGGCGGUCGCCUCCUAAAAG
rnacentral:rRNA from 1 species